GGGGCAGAACCACAGAGCGCGGCGCUAUCAGGUUGUGUUGCAGGAGACCCGGGGCAUGUUGCUGUGUGUGCAUCCUCUCCACCCGUCUGGCAGGGGAGCUGCACGCCCGAGCGCGCUGGAAGCUACGUCCUGUACCUUGGUUCCUCCGACAGGAAGAGGGGGUGGCACUAUUGAAGCCAAGAGUAAGACUUGCCAGAAAUUAACAGAAAAUAAAAGAAUGAAGGAGCAUGAUUAAGCACAGAAACCUGAAAACCCACAGGUGAUGAAAUCAAGACUUGGAAGGUUUAAGUGACUUGCCCAAAGAUACACAGCUAGCUGGGAUUGGAACCAAGAUCUCCUGCCUCCAAGUCCAGCAGACUUAGGACCCAUGAGGAAUGAAAUGCUGAUAGCUUCUUACUUUGGAGGACUUCUGUAGCAGGGGGGGUGGAGGGGAGAGUUCCAAAGGAUCUGAAACAAAGCUUUUUAUCUACUUGUGAAGAUUUAUCUAGUUGUGAAGAGGGAGUUUUUAGCUAACGGAAGCUGCAGCAUUGUCUCCAGGAAAUAAUGCUUUAUCCAGAAUGGACUAUCUCCAUGAAAAGAGAUGACUCCCUCUGCCUGUUUUGUCCCUCAUUCGCUCAGUAGUCAGUGUAGAUCCUGUCCCUUUCAAUCAGCAGCUACAUCUGGCUACUGGGUCUCUGAUGGCAUCUUAGAGCUUCUCUUCCAAUCCUCUAAUGAAGACUGAUGCUUCUUGGACAAUAAGAACCUUUGUCUUGUCUUCAACAUAUAGAGAAAAUUCCUGGUGCUAAAAAGUCCUCCAGUGUGAUCUCAAAUUUGGUCAUCAUGAGUAUUUUAUUUAAAUGAGACAUGCUAAAUAACUGUGUCCUAAGACUGAAGGAUUCUGAGUUUCUGUUGAUUUCUUUGUUUCAUUGGAAUGGAUCAACUGCUAACAUAUACCUUUCGAGGAAUGCAAAUUCAUGUUUCCAUAAACUGUAUGAUUAUAACUUCUGGAUGGGCACUGUCCCUGAGGUUGGGAGCACCUGAGUUCAGAUCUCGCCUUAGACACUUACUAGCUGUGUGACCCUGGGCAAAUCA